rnacentral:lncRNA from 1 species
GCCGCGAUGUGCCAUCCAUCCCAUCGAUUAGUGCUUAUCGAGCCGUCUGGCGGCUCCGUGCUCUCGCCGCACCCAGCAUCCUUCCAAAUCCCUUCCCGAACUCACCUCCUCGAACCCUAGGGCCACAACACACCUUGUUGCCUCCACCUGAAUCUUUGUAGCGAGACGGCGGCUGCAGACCAUAGUCCUGUUGAGGAUG